UGGGAGCCCUUGGCUAUAUAUACACCACGUCGGCUAAACUGCGUUGGGCUUCACUCCACCAGCAUCAAAACUUCCCAAACAGAUGUCGUCCUCUUUCUCUUCGAGCUCAAGGUCUGCUUGUUCAUCCUAGAGGCGCUGGGCUGCCCCAAGCAGGUCGCCGGUGCCAUACAGGGUGGGUCCUCUUGACUACGAACCAGCGACGGCAUGCUAGUGCAAGGAGAGACCCAAGGCCGCCAUGUGGAUCUCCUGGAGCGAUGAUAACCCUGGAAGAAGAUACAAGACAUGCGCCAAGUCGCGGACUGGAGGCUGUGAAAUGUACGUGUGGCAUGACGAUCCUAUUGAGGAUCCGUUCCUCAAACAACUCCUCAUUGAUCUCCACGACAAGGUGCGUCACUUAGAGAGGAUCAACUCAGAGUUACGAGCUGCAACAAGUGUGGUAGCACAACACCGCUCUACCCAGCUAGAACUACCUCCUGCUCCUAUAGACAAUUUAGCUGUGAAUCAAGGACUGGCUAUGUGAAGGGGUUUGCACUGUUCAUGCUGCUGGCAGCAGUCUGUUACAAGUGCUUCUUUGGUUAGGAGCAGUGAUCUUUUAACUGCAUCCACACAAAAAAGCUUGUGUUCUAGAUGUGAUAGUUGUAACCCUAGCAGCCCAUCAGCUGUUGUUGAGUACUUGCCUUUGUUUGUGUCCUAGAAGUUGAACUUGUACCUCCGAAUGUAUGUGGUAAACUAGUGUGAACUAGUCGCAUAUGAACUUUGGUUUCUAUCAGA